AAGCCCGCUCGCCGGAAGACCAAGGGUUCCUGUCCAACGUUAAUCGGGGCAGGGUGAGUCGACCCCUAAGGCGAGGCCGAAAGGCGUAGUCGAUGGGAAACAGGUUAAUAUUCCUGUACUUGGUGUUACUGCGAAGGGGGGACGGAGAAGGCUAUGUUGGCCGGGCGACGGUUGUCCCGGUUUAAGCGUGUAGGCUGGUUUUCCAGGCAAAUCCGGAAAAUCAAGGCUGAGGCGUGAUGACGAGGCACUACGGUGCUGAAGCAACAAAUGCCCUGCUUCCAGGAAAAGCCUCUAAGCAUCAGGUAACAUCAAAUCGUACCCCAAACCGACACAGGUGGUCAGGUAGAGAAUACCAAGGCGCUUGAGAGAACUCGGGUGAAGGAACUAGGCAAAAUGGUGCCGUAACUUCGGGAGAAGG
rnacentral:rRNA from 1 species